UCUUUUAAGAGGGAAAAUACAAGAUGGUACCUCUUGAAUAANUGACAGCAAACUAUGUGCCAGCAGCUGCGGUAAUACAUAGGUCGCUAGCGUUAUUCGGAUUUAUUGGGCGUAAAGAGAGCGCAGGCGGAUGAAUAAGUUCUGUGUUAAAAGUAGCCGCUCAACGGUUGUUUGCGCCGAAUACUGUUCGUCUUGAAUACGGUAGAAAGUUUUGGAAUUGAAUGUGGAGCGGUGGAAUGUGUAGAUAUAUUCAAGAACACCAGAGGCGAAGGCGAAAACUUAGGCCGAUAUUGACGCUUAGGCUCGAAAGUGUGGGGAGCAAAUGGGAUUAGAUACCCCAGUAGUCCACACCGUAAACGAUGGAUAUUUGAUGUUGGGGGAGAGAACUUCAGCGUUGUAGCUUACGUGUUAAAUAUCCCGCCUGGGUAGUACAUAUGCAAAUAUGAAACUCAAAGGAAUUGACGGGGACCUGAACAAGUGGUGGAGCA
rnacentral:rRNA from 1 species